rnacentral:rRNA from 1 species
CGUAAGGGGCGAGCGUUGUUCGGAAUUAUUGGGCGUAAAGGGCACGCAGGCGGUUAUACAAGUCCGAUGUUAAAGACCUGGGCUUAACUCAGGGGAUGCGUUGGAAACUGUAUGACUAGAAUCUUGGAGGGGGGAGUCGGAAUUCCCGGUGUAGAGGUGAAAUUCGUAGAUAUCGGGAGGAACACCAGUGGCGAAGGCGCUGACCUGGACGAUGAUUGACGCUGAGGCGCGAAAGCGUGGGGAGCAAACAGGAUUAGAUACCCUGGUAGUCCACGCCGUAACGAUGAGUGCUAGGCGCCGGAGGAUUGACCCCGUCGGUGCCGCAGCUAACGCGUUAAGCACUCCGCCUGGGGAGUACGGUCGCAAGACUA